UUCAAAUAGCGGAGGAAAAGAAACCAACAGGGAUUGCCUCAGUAACGGCGAGUGAAGCGGCAAAAGCUCAAAUUUGAAAUCCCCCCGGGGAGUUGUAAUUUGAAGAUUGCGUCUUGGAGGCGACCGUGUCUAUGUUCCUUGGAACAGGACGUCACAGAGGGUGAGAAUCCCGUGCGGCACGGCCCCCGGCUCCUUAUAAGGCGCUCUCGACGAGUCGAGUUGUUUGGGAAUGCAGCUCAAAGUGGGUGGUAAAUUCCAUCUAAAGCUAAAUACAGGCGAGAGACCGAUAGCGAACAAGUACAGUGAUGGAAAGAUGAAAAGCACUUUGAAAAGAGAGUGAAACAGCACGUGAAAUUGUUGAAAGGGAAGGGCAUGCCGUCAGAUUGUCAGUGUGGGUAAGAAGCGGGGUACAAAGACUGUGGAACGUGGCCCUCGGGUGUUAUAGCCGCAGUUCAUGCCCCGUCUCUUUCCGAGGCCUGCUUUGAGGACACCGACGUAAUGACGGUACGCCGCCCGUCUUAAAAACCCGGG
rnacentral:rRNA from 1 species